CCCGCUGAACUUAAGCAUAUCAAUAAGCGGAGGAAAAGAAACUAACAAGGAUUCCCCUAGUAACUGCGAGUGAAGCGGGAAAAGCUCAAAUUUAAAAUCUGGCGUGCCUCUGGCUGUCCGAGUUGUAGUCUGGAGAAGCGUUUUCCGCGUCGGACCGUGUACAAGUCCCUUGGAACAGGGCGUCAUAGAGGGUGAGAAUCCCGUCUUUGACACGGACUACCGAUGCUCUGUGAUGCGCUCUCAAAGAGUCGAGUUGUUUGGGAAUGCAGCUCAAAAUGGGUGGUAAAUUCCAUCUAAAGCUAAAUAUAGGCGAGAGACCGAUAGCGAACAAGUACCGUGAGGGAAAGAUGAAAAGCACUUUGGAAAGAGAGUUAAACAGUACGUGAAAUUGCUGAAAGGGAAACGCUUGAAGUCAGUCGCGUCUGCCAGGACUCAGCCUCGCUUCUGCUUGGUGCACUUUCUGGCUGGAUGGUCCAACAUCAAUUUUGACCGUUGGAAAAAGCCUUGGGAAAUGUGGCUCCUUCGGGUGUGUUAUAUCCCUCUGUCGUAUGCCACGGUGGGGAUUAAGGACCCCACCACGCCUUUAUCGCCGGGCUUCUCCCACGUACGUGCUUAGGAUGUUGGCGUAAUGGCUUUAAGCGACCCGUCUUGAAACACGG
rnacentral:rRNA from 1 species